AUGGUUUUAUUUCUAUAUAAAAAUAGCAAGGAUAACAAAUAACAUAUAUAAUAUAAAAUUAUAUCCAUGAUUUAGAACUCAAUCACAUCAAACAUUACCUUUGUUCAUUCAUUUUUUAAGCAAUGUAUCUAUCAAGUAAAAGUCAAACAUCUUAAAACUUUAGGGAGAUCACUAACUCUUAAAAAAUGCUUUUCAUAAUAGGACAUGAUAUAAAUCAUCUUAUCAAACAACAAAAUACAUCAACAAACAAACUCUAAACAAAACUACAAGACUAAAAUAAGCUAAAAGAAAAUGAUAAAAUUAAAAAAAAAUAUGGUAUAGCUGUACUAACAGGAGACAUCAGGCUUGCCAAGACUUUGAUUAGCUUGCUUGCUUAUUUGUUUAUUGUACAAUUGUAAAUGGGAUAAUAUGCAAUCAAAUUUGAAUAUAAUAUUAACGGGUAAAAAUAUGCCUAUAUAUAUUGUUAGAAGAUGUCAAUCUUUAUUACAAAGCUAGAAUUACCAUUUAUACAAACAGAGCAAGCAAGCAUACCAAAAUUUUACUCUACAUGCAUUAGGAAAUAAGCUGUAACGCAUUGGGGAUUUAAAAAAUGACAGGUAUUGACUGUACUUUUGCGAUCCCUAAUUAUAUAAACUAUUUACCUCAAAACAGAUAUCCAAACCAUUAAUAAGGCAUAUAAGUAUAUAUACAUAUUCUGUAAAUUCAGAAAUUAUUGCAUGCAUUCAUUUUUGCAUUUUUUGAAAAGUGGACAAAAAUGUGAGAUUAAUUAUAGCGAUUAAAAGGAAGAUCUCCAAACAGAUGUAUCUAUCAGGUAACAGAUUGCAAGUUCUUAUUAUUGCUAUUCUCACCCAGUUACAUUAUUAUUUGCAUCAAUAAAUACCUGGUACUAAUUUCUGAAAUUAUAGUACUUAUGUUAGUAAAAAAAACAUGGAGAUUAAGAAAAGUUGGCAGGUAUGACACUGAGUCAUACUUACAUUAAAAUGCUCUUAAAAUAGUUAUAUAUGAAUGGAAAUAUAAAAA
rnacentral:lncRNA from 1 species